rnacentral:misc_RNA from 1 species
AGCAGCCGCGGUAAUUCCAGCUCCAAUAGCGUAUAUUAAAGUUGUCGCAGUUAAAAGCUCGUAGUUGAAUUUCGGGGUCAGUAGGCUGGUCGUGCCACCGGUACGUACUGGUCUCACUGAUUCCUCCUUCCUGAAGAACCGUAAUGCCAUUAAUUUGGUGUUGCGGGGAAACNGGACUGUUACUUUGAAAAAUUGAGCGUUUAAAGCAGGCUAACGCUUGAAUACAUUAGCAUGGAAUAAUGAAAUAGGACGAUCGAUCCUAUUUUGUUGGUUUCUAGGAUUGACGUAAUGAUUAAUAGGGAUAGUUGGGGGCAUUAGUAUUCAAUUGUCAGAGGUGAAAUUCUUGGAUUUAUUGAAGACUAACUACUGCGAAAGCAUUUGCCAAGGA